rnacentral:lncRNA from 10 species
AUUGAAAUCUCAUUUCAACAAUUACCAUCUUUUUUGAGUGGUAUUUUUGAAGUUAUAAAUGAAUUCCCUAUAAUACAUAGUGAGAAUAUUUAUGGGAGCUUCCUAGUUGACUUUCUAAACAUUCUGCAUUGCUUCUCAUUUCCUUCUUUAAAUUUCCUUCUACCCUGACUUCCUUAAGACCACUCAAUGUUGGCCCCAUGCUUUCAUUUUUUUCUUUUUUCUUUUUUCUUUUUUUUUUUUUUUUUUUUUUUGAGAUGAAGUUUCCCUCUUUUCACCCAGGCUGGAGUGCAACAGUGUGAUCUCAGCUCACUGCAACCUCCGCCUCCCAGUUUCAAGAGACUCUCCUGCCUCAGCCUCCCGAGUAGCUGCGAUUACAAGCAUGUGCCACCAUGCCCAGCUAAUUUUGUAUUUUUACUAGAGAUGGGGUUUCUUCAUGUUGGUCAGGCUGGUCUCAAACUCCCAACCUCAGGUGAUCCGCCCGCCUCGGCCUCCCAAAGUGCUGGGAUUAUAGGCAUGAGCCACAAUGCCCAGCCCAUGCUUUCUUUUUAAUAACUCCUUGCUGCCUAGUUUUUUCAUGUCCACUGUGUAACUACUAGUCUUAAUGGGUAUUUCUUUUCUUACUAUUCUGCACCAAUGUUUCCCUGAUUGACAGUAGUUUUCCUGAAAUGUAUUCUUGGAAUGGAAUUGUAUGAUACGCUUAGAAAAUUCUGCAUACCUUAUACUUCAGAAUGUGUAUGUAAAAGACUCCAGUAAAUGAUCCAGGGAAGCAAAAAUAUUUGUGUGUUUUGCGAGUUGUAUUCAUAUGUGUAUAAAAUUCCCACAGCACUUUGGGUAACAAUGCUCUGCACACUUUUCCUGUGCUCCUUUUAUCCAUUCCCACACUUCCAGCAUUUCCUUUGACGUUUGAUUUUCUUUAUUUUUUUUUACUCCAAUAUUUUCCUGUAGGUUUCAAACCUAUAUUUUAAAAUAUCAACUGAUUCUCCCCCUCUGUCUUCACCACCUGCAUCUCAAAUUUGACAUAGCCAUAAACACAUUUUAUAUUUUGGCAAAUAAAUCUAUUUCUUUUAAAGCAUUGCCCAUCUCAGCUAAUGAUGAUAAUAUCAAGCCAGUCGCCAAGAAAAUUUAGAGUAUUUAUACCUUGACUCUUCCUUCUAAAUGAAUUAUUAAGUUCAGCUGUUUCUACCUUGAAUUACCUUUCUAUUCUGCCAUUUCUCUUCUGUGUUGCUGCUAAUGUUUUAAUUUAGUCAUUCAUCACAUCAUGCCUGUAC